GACGAACGCUGGCGGCGUGCCUAAUACAUGCAAGUCUAACGCUUCUUUCCUCCCGAGUGCUUGCACUCAAUUGGAAAGAGGAGUGGCGGACGGGUGAGUAACACGUGGGUAACCUACCCAUCAGAGGGGGAUAACACUUGGAAACAGGUGCUAAUACCGCAUAACAGUUUAUGCCGCAUGGCAUAAGAGUGAAAGGCGCUUUCGGGUGUCGCUGAUGGAUGGACCCGCGGUGCAUUAGCUAGUUGGUGAGGUAACGGCCCACCAAGGCCACGAUGGAUAGCCGACCUGAGAGGGUGAUCGGCCACACUGGGACUGAGACACGGCCCAGACUCCUACGGGAGGCAGCAGUAGGGAAUCUUCGGCAAUGGACGGAAGUCUGACCGAGCAACGCCGCGUGAGUGAAGAAGGUUUUCGGAUCGUAAAACUCUGUUGUUAGAGAAGAACAAGGACGUUAGUAACUGAACGUCCCCUGACGGUAUCUAACCAGAAAGCCACGGCUAACUACGUGCCAGCAGCCGCCGUAA
rnacentral:rRNA from 1 species